rnacentral:rRNA from 1 species
AAGAUCGGAGUGCUUGCACUCUGUGAAACAAGAUACAGGCUAGCGGCGGACGGGUGAGUAACACGUGGGUAACCUGCCCAAGAGAUCGGGAUAACACCUGGAAACAGAUGCUAAUACCGGAUAACAACAGAUGAUGCCUAUCAACUGUUUAAAAGAUGGUUCUGCUAUCACUCUUGGAUGGACCUGCGGUGCAUUAGCUAGUUGGUAGGGUAACGGCCUACCAAGGCGAUGAUGCAUAGCCCGAGUUGAGAGACUGAUCGGGCCACAUUGGGGACUGAGGACACGGGGCCCAAAACUCCUACGGGGGGAGGGGCAGCAGUAGGGGGAAUCUUCCACAAUGGACGCAAGUCUGAUGGAGCAACGCCGCGUGAGUGAAGAAGGGUUUCGGCUCGUAAAGCUCUGUUGUUGGUGAAGAAGGACAGGGGUAGUAACUGACCUUUGUUUGACGGUAAUCAAUUAGAAAGUCACGGCUAACUACGUGCCAGCAGCGCGGUAAU